AAAACGAGGGAAAAAAAGGAAGGAAAGAAGAAAAAUACAGACUUCAGUCGACGCACAAGACGAGGUAGAUAUAAAUAGAGAGAGAGAGAGAGAAAGGAAGAAGAGAGAGAGAAAGAAAAUGAUGAUUAACAAAGGAGGAGUAAAGAGAAGGAAGUAAAGAAGGAAGUUUUAAACAGACAAACGCAGGGAAAUUGAAAGAAGAGAGAGGCAGGGAAAAAGAAAGGAAAAGGAAAGUAAUAGUAUGAAAAUAAACAUUCCAUGGUGAUCGAAAGAAGUAAGAAAGAAUAACAAUAAAGAAGAAGAGGAGAAAACAGAAAAUUAGGGAAGUGGAAAGGAGAGGAAAGGAAAAAAAAAUGAAAUGUGACAAAAUGAAAAACGGAAAAGAAAAUGGAGGAAUCUGAGGAGUGUGGAUGGGAAGGAAAUGAACAAAGUCAACAACAACAACAACAACAACAGCUGAUGUGUUUUCGGAUUGGCUUCAUAUUGUAUCUUCUCAGGCGGAAGAAAUAUCACCACCACCACCACCACCACCACCAGCACCACCACCACCACCACCACUACAAGACUACCACUGCUGCUGGUGAUAAAAUGACAGUCACCUACACCACCAAGGUUUCCAACACUAGUUUCUGCGGAUUUUCCAAGCUUCUAUUCAGAUGGCGCGGCAGUGUGUUCAAGCUGCUCGCCGCUGACCUCAUUGUUUACUUCCUGCUUUAUUUCUCCGUGGCCGCCAUCUACAGAAUCGCCUUGCGGGAGAACGAGAAGAGAGUGUUUGAGAAGAUCGCCAUAACGUGUGAAUACUUCCGCAACGUGUUCCCUAUCUCUUUCGUGCUGGGUUUCUACGUGACAAUCGUGGUGCAGCGGUGGUGGGAGCAGUACAUGCUGAUCCCCUGGCCCGACACCGUGUGCAUCAUGGCCUCCACUUACAUAGAGGGCCAGGUGAGGCGUAGCAAGAGAGAGAGGGAGGGAGAGAGAGGCCCGUAUACAGAAACGCUUUGCUCUCUCACCACAACUAUUCUCAAAGACCACAGAGAUGAUUGGCCUGGUUCUCAAGACUGUUUCUCCAUUUAAUAAUAUAGAAACCAUAUAAAUCUGUCACUGCAACCGUAAAAACAACCUUAAAACCACGUGCAACUUCAACUAAAGCCUGAAAAUAGUGGAGGUGUGGCUCAGAAGCGUUUCAUAAUAAAGACCAAAGAGAGAGAGAGAGAGAGAGAGAGAGAGAGAGAGAGAGAGAGAGAGAGAGAGAGAGAGAUUGAAACGAGAUCGAGUUAGGUGAAGCGAGGUUCCAUGUGGCGCUUUAUGGGACUGGGUAAGAUUACAACUUGGAGGAUGGCUGAAGAGGGAGCGAGAGACGGGGGAUGGAGGGAGGAAGGGAGAAUGGGGGAGUGUAGAGGGUGAGGGAGAGUCUGGGGGUGGAAGGAGGAAGGGGAGAGUGGGAGGAGGGUAGAGGGAGCGGGAGAGUGUG